CCCUUAGAUGUUCUGGGCAGCACGCGCGAUACAAUGGUCUUCGCAAACGGAUGCAUUCUCGAAGGAGAAUGCCAAUCUUGGAAUCUAUGCCUUGGUCGGGACAGUUGCUUGCAAUUUUUCGACUCGAACCAGGAAUUCCUUGUAAUCGUGAUUCAUCACAUCACGAUGAAUACGUCCCUGCCCUUUGUACACACCGCCCGUCGCUCCUACCGAUCGAAGAGUUAGGUGAAUUGUUUUGAUCGAUAAGAUUUGACUAUGGUCAACUCUCGUUGUGAAAUUCUGUGAAUCUGACUGUUUAGAGGAAGGAAAAGUCGUAACA
rnacentral:rRNA from 1 species